AUGCGAUGAACUUCUCAUGUUUAAUAGAUCUACUGUUACCAAAGUUUAGCUUAAUAUUCUAGUCCUGCCCUACUGAAAGAUGGUUGCCUAUAUACGUAGGAAGGUUAGAUAAUGUGGUUCUAUCCUUGCUUAUGGUGAGAUUGUGGUGUCCUUGGUCUCCAGGUGUAAUGAGGUUAAAUUCUUCAAAUGCUAUGUCAAACUUCUAAUUAAUUCCUAAUUUUUAACAAGAUUCUUCUAAAUUAUGUUCUUUGGAACUGAGAAAGACUUGGAUGUGAUUCAUCAUAUCAAUAUGAAAUAAAUUUGUAAUAACAAAAUCUGUUGUCCUUUUCAUUUGUGAAGGGGAGCAGUUCGUAGAGCUUAUAGAGCUUAUUUUCUCAUGUUGCUUUGUUGAAAGAUGAUCAUGGCCUGGACCAGUGGGAGCUCGUCUGAAGAUGAAGGAGUGCAAUUCUCAAAUCUCGAGCAUUCUCAACGAGCAGCAGCAACUUCAGAAUAAGAUUAGUGAGACCGAUCUUGAGAAGGGAAUGGAAAAUGAGGUGCUAGCAAACCAUGCAAGGAUGUGUAGGCGAGUCCCUUGAUGACUCUGAUCCAGGAAUGUGAAGGGCAAAAAUGUAACUUAGGCUUGCUGAAUGUGACAAAUAGACUUCGCUACCUAGAAAAGGAUUUUCUCCUACAUUCUACCAAGUGUUUGCUUCUCAAGGAGUAAGUUGUGGGCAAAUUGCAAUUUGGUUUUCGACAUUCAAAUUCUAAUUUUCUAGUUUGAUAGGAAUUGAUUGGUACUUAAUAAUGUUUUAGCUGAACCUUGUAACUCUCUAGCCUUGCAUUAGUUAGGCUUUUUUUUUAUUUCAACUUUAUUGGUUGUGUAGAUGUAUUCAAUUUGACUAUAUAAUUGUGAUAUGCAUUUUCAUUGUAAAAUAUUACUA